rnacentral:rRNA from 1 species
AGAGUUUGAUCAUGGCUCAGAUUGAACGCUGGCGGCAGGCCUAACACAUGCAAGUCGAGCGGUAGCACAGAGAGCUUGCUCUCGGGUGACGAGCGGCGGACGGGUGAGUAAUGUCUGGGAAACUGCCUGAUGGAGGGGGAUAACUACUGGAAACGGUAGCUAAUACCGCAUAACGUCGCAAGACCAAAGUGGGGGACCUUCGGGCCUCAUGCCAUCAGAUGUGCCCAGAUGGGAUUAGCUAGUAGGUGGGGUAACGGCUCACCUAGGCGACGAUCCCUAGCUGGUCUGAGAGGAUGACCAGCCACACUGGAACUGAGACACGGUCCAGACUCCUACGGGAGGCAGCAGUGGGGAAUAUUGCACAAUGGGCGCAAGCCUGAUGCAGCCAUGCCGCGUGUGUGAAGAAGGCCUUCGGGUUGUAAAGCACUUUCAGCGGGGAGGAAGGCGUUAAGGUUAAUAACCUUGGCGAUUGACGUUACCCGCAGAAGAAGCACCGGCUAACUCCGUGCCAGCAGCCGCGGUAAUACGGAGGGUGCAAGCGUUAAUCGGAAUUACUGGGCGUAAAGCGCACGCAGGCGGUCUGUCAAGUCGGAUGUGAAAUCCCCGGGCUCAACCUGGGAACUGCAUUCGAAACUGGCAGGCUAGAGUCUUGUAGAGGGGGGUAGAAUUCCAGGUGUAGCGGUGAAAUGCGUAGAGAUCUGGAGGAAUACCGGUGGCGAAGGCGGCCCCCUGGACAAAGACUGACGCUCAGGUGCGAAAGCGUGGGGAGCAAACAGGAUUAGAUACCCUGGUAGUCCACGCCGUAAACGAUGUCGAUUUGGAGGUUGUGCCCUUGAGGCGUGGCUUCCGGAGCUAACGCGUUAAAUCGACCGCCUGGGGAGUACGGCCGCAAGGUUAAAACUCAAAUGAAUUGACGGGGGCCCGCACAAGCGGUGGAGCAUGUGGUUUAAUUCGAUGCAACGCGAAGAACCUUACCUGGUCUUGACAUCCACAGAACUUANNNNNNNNNNAUUGGUGCCUUCGGGAACUGUGAGACAGGUGCUGCAUGGCUGUCGUCAGCUCGUGUUGUGAAAUGUUGGGUUAAGUCCCGCAACGAGCGCAACCCUUAUCCUUUGUUGCCAGCGGUCCGGCCGGGAACUCAAAGGAGACUGCCAGUGAUAAACUGGAGGAAGGUGGGGAUGACGUCAAGUCAUCAUGGCCCUUACGACCAGGGCUACACACGUGCUACAAUGGCAUAUACAAAGAGAAGCGACCUCGCGAGAGCAAGCGGACCUCAUAAAGUAUGUCGUAGUCCGGAUUGGAGUCUGCAACUCGACUCCAUGAAGUCGGAAUCGCUAGUAAUCGUAGAUCAGAAUGCUACGGUGAAUACGUUCCCGGGCCUUGUACACACCGCCCGUCACACCAUGGGAGUGGGUUGCAAAAGAAGUAGGUAGCUUAACCUUCGGGAGGGCGCUUACCACUUUGUGAUUCAUGACUGGGGUGAAGUCGUAACAAGGUAACCGUAGGGGAACCUGCGGUUGGAUCACCU